rnacentral:rRNA from 1 species
CACCUCUUGUCCCCAUAAGAGGCCUAGCCUGCCCAGUGAUCUCAUUCAACGGCCGCGGUAUCCUAACCGUGCGAAGGUAGCGUAAUCACUUGUCUCCUAAAUAGAGACUAGUAUGAAAGGCAUCACGAGGUUUAUACUGUCUCCUUUCUCUAAUCAGUGAACCUAAUCCCCCCGUGAAGAAGCGGGGAUAUUUUUAUAAGACGAGAAGACCCUAUGGAGCUUAAAACAGUUCUACACGUGCCACACCACUUCCUCAACUACGGUUCUACCCCCCCCCGCACGCUGAUUACAUGUUUUUGGUUGGGGUGACCGCGGAGAAUAAAUCAUCCUCCACGAUGAAAGUGGUUCUCUCCACUAAAUAACAAGCCACAACUUUAUCCAUCAACACAUUGACAUAAUUUGACCCAAUAAAUUUGAUCAACGAACCAAGUUACCCUAGGGAUAACAGCGCAAUCCACUUCGAGAGCUCAUAUCGACAAGUGGGCUUACGACCUCGAUGUUGGAUCAGGGUAUCCCAGUGGUGUAGCCGCUACUAAAGGUUCGUUUGUUCAACGAUUAAAACCCUA